GGUGGUAGUGUCAGUGUUAGUGGUGGUAGUGUCAGUGUUAAGUGGUGGUAGUGUCAGUGUUAAGUGGUGGUAGUGUCAGUGUUAAGUGGUGGUAGUGUCAGUGUUAAGUGGUGGUAGUGUCAGUGUUAAGUGGGGGUAUUUUCAUUUUUAAGUGGUGGUAGUGUCAGUGUUAAGUGGUGGUAGUGUCAUUGUUAAGUGGUGGUAUUGUCAGUGUUAAGUGGUGGUAGUGUCAGUGUUAAGUGGUGGUAGUGUCAGUGUUAAGUGGUGGUAUUGUCAUUGUUAAGUGGUGGUAGUGUCAGUGUUAAGUGGUGGUAGUGUCAGUGUUAAGUGGUGGUAUUGUCAUUGUUAAGUGGUGGUAUUGUCAUUUUUAGUGGUGGUAGUGUCAGUGUUAAGUGGUGGUAGU